rnacentral:rRNA from 1 species
GAUGAACGCUGGCGGCGUGCCUAAUACAUGCAAGUCGAGCGAACAGACGAGGAGCUUGCUCCUCUGACGUUAGCGGCGGACGGGUGAGUAACACGUGGAUAACCUACCUAUAAGACUGGGAUAACUUCGGGAAACCGGAGCUAAUACCGGAUAAUAUAUUGAACCGCAUGGUUCAAUAGUGAAAGACGGUUUUGCUGUCACUUAUAGAUGGAUCCGCGCCGCAUUAGCUAGUUGGUAAGGUAACGGCUUACCAAGGCGACGAUGCGUAGCCGACCUGAGAGGGUGAUCGGCCACACUGGAACUGAGACACGGUCCAGACUCCUACGGGAGGAAGCAGUAGGGAAUCUUACGCAAUGGGCGAAAGCCUGACGGAGCAACGCCGCGUGAGUGAUGAAGGUCUUCGGAUCGUAAAACUCUGUUAUUAGGGAAGAACAAAUGUGUAAGUAACUAUGAACGUCUUGACGGUACCUAAUCAGAAAGCCACGGCUAACUACGUG